rnacentral:rRNA from 1 species
ACGAACGCUGGCGGCAUGCCUAACACAUGCAAGUCGCACGAGACCUUCGGGUCUAGUGGCGCACGGGUGCGUAACGCGUGGGAACCUGCCCUUAGGUUCGGAAUAACUCCCCGAAAGGGGUGCAAAUACCGGAUAAUGUCUUCGGACCAAAGAUUUAUCGCCUUUGGAUGGGCCCGCGUUGGAUUAGCUAGUUGGUAGGGUAAAAGCCUACCAAGGCGACGAUCCAUAGCUGGUCUGAGAGGAUGAUCAGCCACACUGGGACUGAGACACGGCCCAGACUCCUACGGGAGGCAGCAGUGGGGAAUAUUGGACAAUGGGCGAAAGCCUGAUCCAGCAAUGCCGCGUGAGUGAUGAAGGCCUUAGGGUUGUAAAGCUCUUUUACCCGGGAUGAUAAUGACAGUACCGGGAGAAUAAGCUCCGGCUAACUCCGUG